rnacentral:tRNA from 1 species
UGUCAAGGGAUGGGAAUCGAACCCACGACCUUCCGCUUACUGGGCAGAUGCCAUGACCACUAGGCUACCCUGGAC